UACGAAGGGGGCUAGCGUUGCUCGGAAUUACUGGGCGUAAAGCGCACGUAGGCGGUCUUUUAAAUCGGGGGUGAAAUCCUGGAGCUCAACUCCAGAACUGCCUUCGAUACUGGAAGACUUGAGUCCGGGAGAGGUGAGUGGAACUGCGAGUGUAGAGGUGAAAUUCGUAGAUAUUCGCAAGAACACCAGUGGCGAAGGCGGCUCACUGGCCCGGUACUGACGCUGAGGUGCGAAAGCGUGGGGAGCAAACAGG
rnacentral:rRNA from 1 species